UUUACGGAGAAAGUAACAGACGGAUUGACCUGAAAUUUUCACCAGAGGUGCGUCUCAGCCCCAGGAGGAUCCCAUUACAUUUUGGUGGUGAUCUGGAUCGCCUUCUGGAUCCAGGAAUUUUUUGAAGGAUUCUUUAUCAUUGUGAGAUAGGGCACAUUUUGGAAUUUUUGCAUUUAACUCUAUAAAAAUGUCCAGAGUCUUUAGUAAAAAAUUACACAAAAGGAUCUCAAUGAGUUUUAUGAGGUGUCAAAGGUUGAUCCUGAUCCAGACAAAAUUCUGGAUACUGUGAUCCAGAACACACAAAAAUAAGGGUGUUGUUGGAAUUUUCAAUGCUGAAAGAUAACCAAUGGGCGGCACAGUGGUGUAGAUAGGCGGCACAGUGGUGUAGUGGUUAGCACUGUCGCCUCACAGCAAGAAGGUCCUGGGUUUGAAUCCGGGUCAGGGCAUUUCUUGUUUUAGGAACAUUAUGAACAGUGAACAUACCAGUUUAAACACAAAUAAACGCUAAUAAAAGACACGUAACAGUAAAAGUUUUGGUGUGAAUCACAAUAUAAGGG
rnacentral:lncRNA from 1 species